rnacentral:rRNA from 1 species
AUCCAGACUCCUACGGGAGGCAGCAGUGGGGAAUAUUGCGCAAUGGGCGAAAGCCUGACGCAGCGACGCCGCGUGAGGGAUGAAGGUCUUCGGAUCGUAAACCUCUGUCCUCAAGGAAGAUAAUGACGGUACUUGAGGAGGAAGCCCCGGCUAACUACGUGCCAGCAGCCGCGGUAAUACGUAGGGGGCUAGCGUUAUCCGGAAUUACUGGGCGUAAAGGGUGCGUAGGUGGUUUCUUAAGUCAGAGGUGAAAGGCUACGGCUCAACCGUAGUAAGCCUUUGAAACUGGGGAACUUGAGUGCAGGGGAGGAGAGUGGAAUUCCUAGUGUAGCGGUGAAAUGCGUAGAUAUUAGGAGGAACACCAGUGGCGAAGGCGGCUUACUGGACUGUAACUGACGUUGAGGCUCGAAAGCGUGGGGAGCAAACAGGAUUAGAUACCCCCGUA